AGCAGUGUGGUGUAGUGGUAAUUGGUAGGGCUCAUAACCAAAAGAUUGCUGGUUCGAUUCCCCGCUGGGG